GUGGGGAAUAUUGGACAAUGGGCGCAAGCCUGAUCCAGCCAUGCCGCGUGUGUGAAGAAGGCCUUUUGGUUGUAAAGCACUUUAAGCGAGGAGGAGGCUACCGAGAUUAAUACUCUUGGAUAGUGGACGUUACUCGCAGAAUAAGCACCGGCUAACUCUGUGCCAGCAGCCGCGGUAAUACAGAGGGUGCAAGCGUUAAUCGGAUUUACUGGGCGUAAAGCGCGCGUAGGUGGCCAAUUAAGUCAAAUGUGAAAUCCCCGAGCUUAACUUGGGAAUUGCAUUCGAUACUGGUUGGCUAGAGUAUGGGAGAGGAUGGUAGAAUUCCAGGUGUAGCGGUGAAAUGCGUAGAGAUCUGGAGGAAUACCGAUGGCGAAGGCAGCCAUCUGGCCUAAUACUGACACUGAGGUGCGAAAGCAUGGGGAGCAAACAGGAUUAGAAACCCGUGUAGUCC
rnacentral:rRNA from 1 species